UUUAAACACCGGUUCUGGUACGAUCACGCAAGUUAAGCAAGGUUGAGCUUGGUCAGUACCUCGAUAAGAGACCGCUUGGGAAUAUCAGGUAG